GACGAACGCUGGCGGUGUGCUUAACACAUGCAAGUCGAACGGUAAGGCCCUUUCGGGGGUACACGAGUGGCGAACGGGUGAGUAACACGUGAGUAACCUGCCCUCAUCUCUGGGAUAACAGUCGGAAACGGUUGCUAGUACUGGAUAUGAGCUUGCAAGGCAUCUUGUGGGUUGGAAAGAUUUUUUUUGGUUGGGGAUGGACUCGCGGCCUAUCAGCUUGUUGGUGAGGUAGUGGCUCACCAAGGCUUCGACGGGUAGCCGGCCUGAGAGGGCGACCGGCCACAUUGGGACUGAGAUACGGCCCAAACUCCUACGGGAGGCGGCAGUGGGGAAUAUUGCACAAUGGACGGAAGUCUGAUGCAGCAACGCCGCGUGCGGGAUGACGGCCUUCGGGUUGUAAACCGCUUUCAAUUGUGACGAAGCUUUUUUGUGACGGUAGCAGUAGAAGAAGCACCGGCUAACUACGUG
rnacentral:rRNA from 1 species